UAAAGAAUAUUAAGUGGGAAGCUUCUUGGC
rnacentral:piRNA from 1 species